GUUCCGCUCAAGUUCCUCCGCCGCGACCUCAGGACAGGCCGAAGAGGCGCGCACUACUCACGUGUCUUCCAAGUGCUGCUCCAAGGUCGCCUCCAUCCCACCCACCGACCACUCCGGCUCAGAACCCAGCGGCACGGCACGUCCUUCUCCACCACAGGCCUCAGUCACUUGACGCGAGCGGGGCGUGGACCGUAACGGCGCCUCCAAAGGGACAAAAUUGAUCACGGUGCAACGUCCGCGUUCUUUACUGGAAAACAUCACUGCGCUUCCGCCGCACAGAGCCUGACGAAGGCUUGGGCUCCCCGCGCGGUGACCGUCGAGGUGACCUGCACCUGGCUCCAUGGCGGAACCGGCUGGCACGGAUUAUUCCCCUCUCGGGAGAGGUCUGCAGCCGGGCUUCAGUGCUUCAGUUCGUGGCCUGGCAUUUUGUGAAGAGUGUCUUCAUCUCUGCAUCCCUAGUGCAACAGAGCAUGAUAAAAAUUCAAUAAAUAUUUAUUGAAGAGUCUUGUUGUCUUUUGGGAAAGGAACUCUAUGGUUACCUUUACUCUAAGAUUAGAUGGGUGUUACUGAUUCUUACCUCAGAGAAGAGAAUGUCAUGGAGACAAAAUGAUCUGCUUAGAGUUCUGCACCCCCCAGCAUGGAGAGCAGAGCGCAAAGAUUUCUUCCGGACUCUCACAUUCCCCUUGGAAUCCAAGAACUGGUCUACUGUCACAACACUUUAGUACCCUCUUGUAAGCCUGUGGACAAAUCCUCUGAUGCCUUGAUACCUCAGUUUCCCCCCACUAUAAAUGGGAAGAUAAAUUCACUAGAAACAGUA
rnacentral:antisense_RNA from 1 species